rnacentral:misc_RNA from 1 species
UACGUAGGUGGCAAGCGUUGUCCGGAAUUAUUGGGCGUAAAGCGCGCGCAGGCGGUCCCUUAAGUAUGAUGUGUAAGCCCCCCGCUCAACCGGGGAGGGUCAUUGGAAACUGGCAGACUUGAGUGCAGAAGAGGAGAGUGGAAUUCCAUGUGUAGCGGUGAAAUGCGUAGAUAUGUGGAGGAACACCAGUGGCGAAGGCGGCUCUCUGGUCUGUAACUGACGCUGAGGCGCGAAAGCGUGGGGAGCAAACAGG